UACGGAGGGUCCGGGCGUUAUCCGGAUUUAUUGGGUUUAAAGGGAGCGCAGGCGGGAUAUUAAGCGUGACGUGAAAUGUAGCCGCUCAACGGCUGAACUGCGUCGCGAACUGGUAUUCUUGAGUGAGUUCGAUGUAGGCGGAUUCGUGGUGUAGCGGCGAAAUGCUUAGAUAUCACGAAGAACUCCGAUUGCGAAGGCAGCCUACAAGGCCUUUACUGACGCUAAAGCUCGAAGGUGCGGGUAUCGAACA
rnacentral:rRNA from 1 species